rnacentral:rRNA from 1 species
GUAGGGUGCAAGCGUUAAUCGGAAUUACUGGGCGUAAAGCGUGCGCAGGCGGUCAUGCAAGACAGAUGUGAAAUCCCCGGGCUUAACCUGGGAACUGCAUUUGUGACUGCAUGGCUGGAGUACGGUAGAGGGAGAUGGAAUUCCGCGUGUAGCAGUGAAAUGCGUAGAUAUGCGGAGGAACACCGAUGGCGAAGGCAAUCUCCUGGACCUGUACUGACGCUCAUGCACGAAAGCGUGGGGAGCAAACAGGAUUAGAUACCCUGGUAGUCCACGCCCUAAACGAUGUCAACUGGUUGUUGGACGGCUUGCUGUUCAGUAACGAAGCUAACGCGUGAAGUUGACCGCCUGGGGAGUACGGCCGCAAGGUUGAA